UACGUAGGGUCCGAGCGUUGUCCGGAAUUACUGGGCGUAAAGAGCUCGUAGGUGGUUUGUCGCGUUGUUCGUGAAAACUCACAGCUCAACUGUGGGCGUGCGGGCGAUACGGGCAGACUUGAGUACUGCAGGGGAGACUGGAAUUCCUGGUGUAGCGGUGGAAUGCGCAGAUAUCAGGAGGAACACCGGUGGCGAAGGCGGGUCUCUGGGCAGUAACUGACGCUGAGGAGCGAAAGCGUGGGGAGCGAGCAGG
rnacentral:rRNA from 1 species